GGGCUCCAUUAGCAACCUUAAUCAAUUAUACAUAUCUAUUAAUUCAUAAAAUACCAUUUUAUCAUUUAUUAAGCUUUAAUGUCGUGAUAGGAAAUAGGGUGAGAGAUCCUUACUUGAUUCGAAGUCUAAAAUCAGUUUUUCACUGUGCCUACGGGUAGUCCCUAGAUUUUCUGAAUUUUUCCCCGGAAACUGAAACACACUUCCGGUACCUGCACAUGUCCCCAAAAAAACUCCAAAUUAGACCCAAGGCCUCCUCGGUCAAUUUUAGAAUUUCGGCACGGCGGCUCCGCCGUGCUCCGGCGACGGCACUGUCGCUUGCAGCGGCGAUUCGCCUCGGGUUGGCCGUUUUCGACCGUUUUCGGUCGAAUUCGGCCAAACUUGCAU
rnacentral:lncRNA from 1 species